AUGAAUAUUCCUACUGCAUUAAUGCACCAGAUCCCAUUAUAACUCUGAAGUCAAGCGCUAUUGGGUUAGAGUAGUAUUGGGAUGGGUGACCUCCUGGGAAGUCCUAGUGUUUUACAUG
rfam:Picea glauca, whole genome shotgun sequence.